AUUGAACGCUAGCGGGAUGCUUUACACAUGCAAGUCGAACGGCAGCGCGGACUUCGGUCUGGCGGCGAGUGGCGAACGGGUGAGUAAUGUAUCGGAACGUGCCCAGUAGCGGGGGAUAACUACGCGAAAGCGUAGCUAAUACAGCAUACGCCCUACGGGGGAAAGCAGGGGAUCGUAAGACCUUGCCCUAUUGGAUCUGCCGAUAUCGGAUUAGCUAGUUGGUGAGGUAACGGCUAACCAAGGCGACGAUCCGUAGCUGGUUUGAGAGGACGACCAGCCACACUGGGACUGAGACACGGCCCAGACUCCUACGGGAGGCAGCAGUGGGGAAUUUUGGACAAUGGGGGCAACCCUGAUCCAGCCAUCCCGCGUGUGCGAUGAAGGCCUUCGGGUUGUAAAGCACUUUUGGCAGGAAAGAAACGUCGCGGGCUAAUACCCCGUGGAACUGACGGUACCUGCAGAAUAAGCACCGGCUAACUACGUG
rnacentral:rRNA from 1 species